rnacentral:rRNA from 1 species
UUAUGGGAAACAUGAGAGUGUCUUUAGAACCGCCCUUGCACAGGUAUUGCAUGGCUGUCGUCAGCUCGUGUCGUGAGAUGUUGGGUUAAGUCCCACAACGAGCGCAACCCCUAUUCUUAGUUGCCAUCAGGUUAAGCUGGGCACUCUAGGGAGACUGCCUCGGAUAACGAGGAGGAAGGUGGGGAUGACGUCAAGUCAUCAUGGUCUAUGGUUCUGGGCUAGAAACGUGCUACAAUGGUCGGUACAAAGGGUUGCGAUACCGCGAGGUGGAGCCAACCCCAAAAAGCCGGUCUCAGUUCGAAUUGGAGUCUGCAAUUUGACUCCAUGAAGCUGGAAUUGCUAGUAAUCGCGGAUCAGCAAUGCCGCGGUGAAUUCGUUCCCGGGCCUUGUACACACCGCCCGUCACAUGACUGAGUUGG